rnacentral:lncRNA from 1 species
GCUUUUCUCCAACUGCAACUCCGUGGGGGCUGUGGGUGGCGCUACUUCUGUAAUCCUCUCUCUAACACAGUCAUAUGUGAGUGUUAGUGCAUUAAAAUGCUAGAUUUGCUUAAUGAGUGCCUGGUGAUAAUGCAGCCACAGAAUGAGAGGGGUCUUAUUCCAUUUGCUUCUGCAGAUCACAGGUCCACUCCACAGGCAGGAAAAGUCAACAGGGUCUCCUACUAGACAGUAGGAGGAGGCCAACCCCAAGGGAAGCCGUGCCACAGUGAUGACUGAAAUGGGACCAAUCCCGAUGACCAGCCCUGAAGGUCAGACACCUGCAGAAGCUGAAGAGUGUGGAGCACCUGCUGGCCUUUCCCGAUAAAGCCACACGGGACUCAGCCUGGGGCAGCCUCUAACUCCAGCAUCCUUUCAAUAUAAAAUACCAAUGGGGAAGAAAUGGGAGGAUGGAAAUGGCUGGGAAUGUGAAGAAGUUGAAGGAGAAGAGGCAUGCCAGUUUCUACGUGGAAGGAGAGCCUGGACUCCAUCAAAGACGUUCAUUUGGGAAAGAGGAAAGCAUAGCAAGACAUCUCCAGCUUCCCCAGCUCGACAACCAUUGCUACAAGGCAACCUGCCCUGGAGUGGAGCAAGUGGUGAACCUUUAUAAGACAUCCUUGCCUUCUGAAUCCAGAAGAAGGUGCCAGAAAUGAGUGCUACUGCGCAUGAUGUUAAAUACAAUAGACAGUAAAUGCCAAAUGACCAAAGUCACAGGUUUACAGAGUUCUCAAGUAAUGAAUGAAAACGCACCGUUAGACAUGCUGAUUCACUGGGACAUGUGAGUUCGAAAAUUUAUCUAGCAGGAGAUGUUAAAGCCAUAUGCAACAGUGGAUGAGAACAAUAGCUUUCCCUCAAAAAUGAAUGCGCACCACACUGCAAUCUGCACUGGCUCUGAGUCACAUGCUCAGUAAGCUGCUGCUUAAGGCAGGCUCAGCUGGAAACUCUUACCCAGGCAGCCAGGAGAGCCAGGGCUACUGCACUGUCCCAUGGAGUCCCACCUGCUGUGUCCUUAAACUGGGCCUUUACCUUCUCCUCCCCCUGCUAUCCAGUGCUGCUCUUCCUGAGGUGACAUGGGUAAUACCAUUUACCACAGGGCUCCACAGACAGUAGUAACCACCCAGGUCAUUGC